CUGGCUGAUGAGACUAAGGCGAAUGCGACUCUGUGCUCUCUGACCCUUGGCUCCUUGGCAGAGGGAGGGGGCUACAGGUGGGAUCUGAAAUCUUAGUGGGAGUACCUGAGGCCUGGCUCCCCACUGUAAGGCCAGAUCAAUAGGACUGCGGGCCUUGCCUUCAUUUCUGCUGUUGCCCCAGUUGUUGGCAGCAGCCUUCAGGGAGGCCCACAAGUGGAGACCAAAGUAGGGCUGGGCAUGAGCCUUCUGAGCACAACCUUGGAUCUGACA